CUCCCCGCGGGUUCCGUUGGCUGUGGCGGCAGCUGACGCUUGUGGCGGCGGUGGCUUCGGGGUGGGCGUAAGAUGGCGACAGCAGCGCAGGGACCCCUAAGCUUGCUGUGGGGCUGGCUGUGGAGCGAGCGCUUCUGGCUACCCGAGAACGUGAGCUGGGCUGAUCUGGAGGGGCCGGCCGACGGCUACGGUUACCCCCGCGGCCGGCACAUCCUCUCGGUGUUCCCGCUGGCGGCGGGCAUCUUCUUCGUGAGGCUGCUCUUCGAGCGAUUCUGAUUUUGCAAGUCUGAGAUGGGCUCAAGAUUAUGCAUCUCUAAAAAGCUUCCAGCCAGCACAGUGGCCCACGCCUGUAAUCCCAGCAUUUUGGGAGACUGAGGCUGGUGAACAUUGUCACCCUAAAGAAGUGAUAAAUGUUGAAAGUGAUGGAUAUGAUUUAUUGCCAAACCCUGUGCACUCUGUAUUGGCAUCGAGGACAGUGGUCCUUAUCAGGCCCAACCCAAUGCCAUCCUUGAAAAGGUGUUCAUAUCUAUUACCAAGUAUCCUGAUAAGAAAAGGCUGGAGGGCCUGUCAAAGCAGCUGGAUUGGAAUGUCCGAAAAAUCCAAUGCUGGUUUCGCCAUCGGAGGAAUCAGGACAAGCCCCCAACGCUUACUAAAUUCUGUGAAAGCAUGUGGAGAUUCACAUUUUAUUUAUGUAUAUUCUGCUAUGGAAUUAGAUUUCUCUGGUCGUCACCUUGGUUCUGGGACAUCCGACAGUGCUGGCAUAACUAUCCAUUUCAGCCUCUUUCAAGUGGGCUUUAUCACUAUUAUAUCAUGGAAUUGGCCUUCUAUUGGUCCCUUAUGUUUUCUCAGUUUACAGACAUUAAAAGAAAGGACUUCCUGAUCAUGUUUGUGCAUCACUUGGUCACCAUUGGGCUUAUCUCCUUCUCCUACAUCAACAAUAUGGUUCGAGUGGGAACUCUGAUCAUGUGUCUACAUGAUGUCUCAGACUUCUUGCUGGAGGCAGCCAAACUGGCCAAUUAUGCCAAGUAUCAGCGGCUCUGUGACACCCUUUUUGUGAUCUUCAGUGCUGUUUUUAUGGUUACACGACUAGGAAUCUAUCCAUUCUGGAUUCUGAACACGACCCUCUUUGAGAGUUGGGAGAUAAUCGGGCCUUAUGCUUCAUGGUGGCUCCUCAAUGGCCUGCUGCUGACCCUACAGCUUCUGCAUGUCAUCUGGUCCUACCUAAUUGCACGGAUUGCUUUGAAAGCCUUGAUCAGGGGAAAGAUGGAAUCUCGCUCUGUUGCCCAGGCUGGAGUGCAAUGUCACGAUCUUGGCUCACCACAACCUCCACCUCCUGGGUUCAAGCGAUUCUCCUGCCUCAGCCUCCCUAGUAGCUGGGAUUACAGGCGCAUGCCACCAGGCCUGGCUAAUUUUUGUAUUCUUAGUAGAAACGGGGUUUCACUAUGUUGGCCAGGCUGGUCUCUAACUCCCGACCUUGUGAUCUGCCCACCUUGGCCUCCCGAAGUGCUGGGAUUACAGGCGUGAGCCACCGCACCUGGCCUGCCUGUUUUACCUUUUAAGAUGUGACUUAGACGCAAGAGGAAAGUUCUACCUUCUUCCUGUCCCUUAGGAAUGGCUUUUGUUAAAGGAUGAUAGGGUUAAGAGUUUUUUAAGAGAUGGCCUCAACCAUUUCCUACCCCUUACCUACCUGCUUCAGUGGAUUUCAUAUUUUUCUUUUUGACAUGGGGCCCUUUUCAAAGGAAAUCAUAUGCAGAACCAUAUAAACUGUAUAAAAGCAGAUUGUUAAGUUGCCUAGAAGUGGUGUGUGGUAGUUCACAAGCCACCACAAGGUGACCAUGCUGUGAUAUUCAAGAUAUGGUUUAUAUAAGGAACUAAAUACCCACCUCACCCCACUAGUGUAUGAGGCAAGUGUCCUAAGUGAAUGGGUAUGUAGUGUUUCAAAUACCCAUCUUAUGCCAAGAGCGAAAGAAAGGUGCCACUUAAUGAUAAACUCAUAAUUGAACUUUGCAAGUUUUGAAGCAGUCAGACUGUAGUCAAAGGGCUAGGGAUUUCAGCCUAAAGGAAUACAGAAUCCCAAGUGGGAGGGGCUCUGCUUGAGCAGGUACUGAUACUAGGACCAAGUGAUGGAAUGUGGCCUAGAUAUUGAUGAUCUCCUGCAUCAUUAUUCCUUAUAGCUGCCAUUGGCUCAGAACUUGCUCAGUGUGCCUGUGCAUCUUGCUGUAGCUACUGGACAUCUCUGUUCUCUCCUGCUUUUCUUUCCUGACUAGGUGACCUGUCCAGGAAGGAUUAGACCCUGUACUCUCCACUCUUUCCUCACCUCCUUCCUUUUUUCUAUGCCUGGCGGGAGCUGGACAGUUUCAUCUCUUGCAUGUAUCGAAGGAUGAUCGCAGUGAUGUGGAGAGCAGCUCAGAGGAAGAAGAUGUGACCACCUGCACAAAAAGUCCCUGUGACAGUAGCUCCAGCAAUGGUGCCAAUCGGGUGAAUGGUCACAUGGGAGGCAGCUACUGGGCUGAAGAGUAAGGUGGUUGCUAUAGGGACUUCAGCACACAUGGACUUGUAGGGCCACUGGCAACAUACUCCUCUUGGCCCUUCCCAUAUCUACUCUUCUGUGAUUGGGAGACUGCAAGGCACUGAGGAGUAUCAAAGAAGCAAAUAUUUUCACUUUGAAAGAAAACUGCCAUUUUGUAUUUAAUAGCCUCCAGGUUCUUUCAGUAAUGUUAUUUGCUCUGUGUGUUUUUGUGUGUUUGUUGAUGUGCGUUUGUGCAUAUGCGUGAGUUUCAUUGCCGGGGUUGGGGCACAAUUGUGGACUGGGGCCAUGAGGCCUUCCCUGGUCCCCACUGAACCCACCUUAGUUCCACAUUUGGCUGCAUCUUGAAUUAUGCCAACUCCAGACUUCUCCUUCUUUUUUGCCCUUGGCUCUUGACACUCUAAACCCCUGGACCAUCUGAAUGGAGCAGCCAAGUUCAGUCCCACAUUUCUGUACUGUUCCUCUUUCACAGCUGGAAUAUGUCACAUGAUGAAGUUGUAUAGAAACAGAACCAUGGAUGGAUGGCCAGGAUUGCCGUGGUCCCUAGCUAGAUCCCCUUCCUAUCAAUCACCUGAUAGCAACAGGGACAGCUGCCAAUACCCUGCUCUUUACUCAAUGGUACCCAGGGAGGGAGCAUGGGAAGAGGGUGAGCUGAGGGCUGGAGGAGGGCAACAGCCACUGGGUGAGCUGUUCACGGUCUUAUACUAUUGUUUGUUUGUGAUUAAAAGUGCUUCAACCCACCUCUACUGUCUCAACCUCUUCAGUGACUCUAUCCGCAGUUUCCUGAAUCCAUAAGCUAAUUAAGAGCUUUUCCAGGUCUGAUUCAGAAGGCCCUGGACACCAAAUUUUUCCUUUCUGUGCAUGGUAGGAAGAGUCAGCCAGGGUGCUUACAUUUUAGAGCUUUAUGUUUUUUAAGAAAAAGAAGAAUCACUUGAACCUGGGAGGCAGAGGUUGCAGCGAGCCAAGAUCGUGCCACUGCACUCCAGCCUGGGCGACAGACCGAGACUCUGUCUAAAAAAAAAAAAAAAAAAAAAAAUUAGGUCAUACUUUUAGUUCCUCAACUUGCUAUAUUGAAUAGACUAAUAUUGUUGUGAAAUAUGAAUGAAUAUGCUUUUGAAAGUCAGAUGAGAAAUGUAUUUUGCCUUCUGAAAUUUGAACAAUUGCCUUGUUAAUACAAACUGGAUUGGUUGGUGUAGCUAAUCUGACAAAAGAUGCAAUUGGAUAAAACAAUAAUAAAAAUAAUAACUAA